rnacentral:rRNA from 1 species
CGUCUAUAUACGUAUAGCAUAUCAAUAAGCGGAGGAAAAGAAACUAACUAGGAUUCCCUUAGUAACGGCGAGUGAAGCGGGAAGAGCUCAAAUUUGAAAUCUUCAAGGUUUUACCUUGACGAAUUGUAGUUUAAAGAAGUGUUUUCUGUUGGAGUUUUGGUAAAAGUUCUUUGGAAUAGGACAUCAUAGAGGGUGAGAAUCCCGUAUUUGACCAUUAUUUCCAACUUUGUGAUACACUUUCAAAGAGUCGGAUUGUUUGGGAAUGCAGUCCAAAAUGGGUGGUAAAUUUCAUCUAAAGCUAAAUACUGGCGAGAGACCGAUAGCGAACAAGUACCGUGAGGGAAAGAUGAAAAGAACUUUGAAAAGAGAGUUAAACAGUACGUGAAAUUGUCAAAAGGGAAGCGUUUGACACCAGUGUUGUUUUCUCGAAAAUCAAUUAAAAAUGGUGGGAUUUUGUGUUGUAUUGACUUUAUCAGCUUUCUGCACUUUUUUCCUAUCUUUUUAAUGCACUUUUCGUUUAACAAGUCAACAUCAAUUUCUUUUGUUGUAAAAGAGUCAUUGGAAGGUGGCUUUCUUUUCGGAGAAAGUGUUUAUAGCCUUUGGCCUCUAGCAGUCGGAGAGAUUGAGGUCUGCAGCGUAGAUCCUUCGGGGUUAGAUACAUUUGUGCUAAGCUAUAGCCUUUCAUAGACAACUUGUUGACUAUGAUCAGUCAUGUAGCUUACUCGCUUAUGUUAUUUUACCUACGCUUUAGGAUGUUGACGAUCAGCUGAGCGCG